rnacentral:rRNA from 1 species
UAAUACGGAGGGUGCAAGCGUUAAUCGGAAUUACUGGGCGUAAAGCGUACGUAGGCGGUUUGUUCAGUCAGAUGUGAAAGCCCCGGGCUUAACCUGGGAACUGCAUUUGAUACUGGCAAGCUAGAGUAUGGUAGAGGGGGGUAGAAUUUCUAGUGUAGCGGUGAAAUGCGUAGAUAUUAGAAGGAAUACCAGUGGCGAAGGCGGCCCCCUGGACCAAUACUGACGCUGAGGUACGAAAGCGUGGGGAGCGAACAGGAUUAGAUACCCUGGUAGUCCACGCCGUAAACGAUGUCAACUAGCCGUUGGGACCUUGAGGUCUCAGUGGUGCAGCUAACGCGUGAAGUUGACCGCCUGGGGAGCACGGCCGCAAGGCUA